AGCCCAAACCAACAAGCUUGCUUGUUGGGGUUGUAGGACACUCUAUACGGAGUUACAAAAGAACAUGUUAGACGAAUCAUCUGGAAAGAUGAAUCAAAGAAGGUAAUAAUCCUGUAGUCGAAAACAUAUUCUCUCUUGAGUGGAUCCUGAGUACGACGGAGCACGUGAAAUUCCGUCGGAAUCUGGGAGGACCAUCUCCUAAGGCUAAAUACUCUCUAGUGACCGAUAGUGAACCAGUACCGUGAGGGAAAGGUGAAAAGUACCCCGGAAGGGGAGUGAAAGAGAACUUGAAACCGUGUGCUUACAAGUAGUCAGAGCCCGUUAAUGGGUGAUGGCGUGCCUUUUGUAGAAUGAACCGGCGAGUUACGAUCUGAUGCAAGGUUAAGCAGCAAAUGUGGAGCCGCAGCGAAAGCGAGUCUGAAUAGGGCGUUGAGUAUUUGGUCGUAGACCCGAAACCAGGUGAUCUACCCYUGGUCAGGUUGAAGUUCAGGUAACACUGAAUGGAGGACCGAACCGACUUACGUUGAAAAGUGAGCGGAUGAACUGAGGGUAGCGGAGAAAUUCCAAUCGAACUUGGAGAUAGCUGGUUCUCUCCGAAAUAGCUUUAGGGCUAGCCUCAAGUGAUGAUUAUUGGAGGUAGAGCACUGUUUGGACGAGGGGCCCCUCUCGGGUUACCGAAUUCAGACAAACUCCGAAUGCCAAUUAAUUUAACUUGGGAGUCAGAACAUGGGUGAUAAGGUCCGUGUUCGAAAGGGAAACAGCCCAGACCACCAGCUAAGGUCCCAAAAUAUAUGUUAAGUGGAAAAGGAUGUGGCGUUGCCCAGACAACUAGGAUGUUGGCUUAGAAGCAGCCAUCAUUUAAAGAGUGCGUAAUAGCUCACUAGUCGAGUGACACUGCGCCGAAAAUGUACCGGGGCUAAACAUAUUACCGAAGCUGUGGAUUGUCCUUUGGACAAUGGUAGGAGAGCGUUCUAAGGGCGUCGAAGCAUGAUCGCAAGGACAUGUGGAGCGCUUAGAAGUGAGAAUGCCGGUGUGAGUAGCGAAAGACGGGUGAGAAUCCCGUCCACCGAUUGACUAAGGUUUCCAGAGGAAGGCUCGUCCGCUCUGGGUUAGUCGGGUCCUAAGCUGAGGCCGACAGGCGUAGGCGAUGGAUAACAGGUUGAUAUUCCUGUACCACCUAGUAUCGUUUUAAUCGAUGGGGGGACGCAGUAGGAUAGGCGAAGCGUGCUGUUGGAGUGCACGUCCAAGCAGUAAGGCUGAGUGUUAGGCAAAUCCGGCACUCAUAAGGCUGAGCUGUGAUGGGGAGAGGAAAUUGUUUCCUCGAGUCGUUGAUUUCACACUGCCGAGAAAAGCCUCUAGAUAGAUAACAGGUGCCCGUACCGCAAACCGACACAGGUAGUCAAGAUGAGAAUUCUAAGGUGAGCGAGCGAACUCUCGUUAAGGAACUCGGCAAAAUGACCCCGUAACUUCGGGAGAAGGGGUGCUCUUUAGGGUUCACGCCCAGAAGAGCCGCAGUGAAUAGGCCCAAGCGACUGUUUAUCAAAAACACAGGUCUCUGCUAAACCGUAAGGUGAUGUAUAGGGGCUGACGCCUGCCCGGUGCUGGAAGGUUAAGAGGAGUGGUUAGCUUCUGCGAAGCUACGAAUCGAAGCCCCAGUAAACGGCGGCCGUAACUAUAACGGUCCUAAGGUAGCGAAAUUCCUUGUCGGGUAAGUUCCGACCCGCACGAAAGGCGUAACGAUUUGGGCACUGUCUCAACGAGAGACUCGGUGAAAUCAUAGUACCUGUGAAGAUGCAGGUUACCCGCGACAGGACGGAAAGACCCCGUGGAGCUUUACUGUAGCCUGAUAUUGAAAUUCGGCACAGCUUGUACAGGAUAGGUAGGAGCCUUUGAAACGUGAGCGCUAGCUUACGUGGAGGCGUUGGUGGGAUACUACCCUAGCUGUGUUGGCUUUCUAACCCGCACCACUUAUCGUGGUGGGAGACAGUGUCAGGCGGGCAGUUUGACUGGGGCGGUCGCCUCCUAAAAGGUAACGGAGGCGCUCAAAGGUUCCCUCAGAAUGGUUGGAAAUCAUUCAUAGAGUGUAAAGGCAUAAGGGAGCUUGACUGCGAGACCUACAAGUCGAGCAGGGUCGAAAGACGGACUUAGUGAYCCGGUGGUUCCGCAUGGAAGGGCCAUCGCUCAACGGAUAAAAGCUACCCCGGGGAUAACAGGCUUAUCUCCCCCAAGAGUUCACAUCGACGGGGAGGUUUGGCACCUCGAUGUCGGCUCAUCGCAUCCUGGGGCUGUAGUCGGUCCCAAGGGUUGGGCUGUUCGCCCAUUAAAGCGGUACGCGAGCUGGGUUCAGAACGUCGUGAGACAGUUCGGUCCCUAUCCGUCGUGGGCGUAGGAAAUUUGAGAGGAGCUGUCCUUAGUACGAGAGGACCGGGAUGGACAUACCUCUGGUGUACCAGUUGUCGUGCCAACGGCAUAGCUGGGUAGCUAUGUAUGGACGGGAUAAGUGCUGAAAGCAUCUAAGCAUGAAGCCCCCCUCAAGAUGAGAUUUCCCAACUUCGGUUAUAAGAUCYCUCGAAGAUGACGAGGUUAAUAGGUUCGAGGUGGAAGCGUGGUGACACGUGGAGCUGACGAAUACUAAUCGAUCGAAGACUUAAUCAAUUUUUAAA
rnacentral:rRNA from 1 species